rnacentral:rRNA from 1 species
UACAGAGGGGGCAAGCGUUGUUCGGAAUUACUGGGCGUAAAGGGCGCGUAGGCGGCCUUCUAAGUCGAACGUGAAAUCCCCGGGCUCAACCCGGGAACUGCGUCCGAUACUGGAAGGCUUGAAUCCGGGAGAGGGAUGCGGAAUUCCAGGUGUAGCGGUGAAAUGCGUAGAUAUCUGGAGGAACACCGGUGGCGAAGGCGGCAUCCCGGACCGGUAUUGACGCUGAGGCGCGAAAGCCAGGGGAGCAAACGGG